rnacentral:rRNA from 1 species
UAUAUUUUUAACGAAUUCUCCCCUUUUUUCGGUUGAUCCUGCCGGACCCGACUGCUAUCAGAGUGGGACUAAGCCAUGCGAGUCAACGUAGCAAUGCGUGGCGAACGGCUCAGUAACACGUAGUCAACAUGCCCAGGGGACGUGGAUAACCUCGGGAAACUGAGAUUAAACCGCGAUAGGUCAAGAUUUCUGGAAUGGAUCCUGGCUUAAAUCUACAUGGCCCCUGGAUUGGACUGCGGCCGAUCAGGCUGUUGGUGAGGUAAUGGCCCACCAAACCUAUAACCGGUACGGGCUCUGAGAGGAGAAGCCCGGAGAUGGGCACUGAGACAAGGGCCCAGGCCCUAUGGGGCGCAGCAGGCGCGAAACCUCUGCAAUGGGCGAAAGCCUGACAGGGUUACUCUGAGUGAUUUCCGUUAAGGAGAUCUUUUAGCACCUCUAAAAAUGGUGCAGAAUAAGGGGUGGGCAAGUCUGGUGUCAGCCGCCGCGGUAAUACCAGCACCCCGAGUGGUCGGGACGAUUAUUGGGCCUAAAGCAUCCGUAGCCGGUUGUGCAAGUCCUCCGUUAAAUCCAGCCGCUCAACGGAUGGGCUGCGGAGGAUACUACAGGACUAGGAGGCGGGAGAGGCAAGCGGUA